AUGGAGAAGUCGACCAAGAUGGUGGCGGUGCUCGUCCUCGCCGUGCUGGCCGCGGCGACCAGCGCCGAGGCGAGGAACAUCAAGACGACGGACGCGGCAGCCGCCAGCAAGGACGCGGUCCUGCAGCCGACGACCUUCCCGCCCUUCGACCGCCUCGGCGGCCUCCCCGGCGGCAGCAGCAUGCCGGGAUUCAGCCUCCCCGGCAGCAGCGGCGCCACCCCGGGCAUCAGCGGCAUCGGCAGCAUGCCCUUCCUCGGCGGCAGCUCCCCCGGCCUCGGCGGCUCCACCGGUCUCGGCGGCUUCGGCGGCAUGCCGGGGUCCCCCGCUGCAGCUGCCGUCGACGAGCACGCCAAGAAGCCGUGA
rnacentral:rRNA from 1 species